rnacentral:rRNA from 1 species
UACGUAGGUGGCAAGCGUUGUCCGGAUUUACUGGGCGUAAAGGGUGCGUAGGCGGUCGGGUAAGUCUGAUGUGAAAUCUCACGGCUUAACUGUGAAACUGCAUUGGAUACUAUCCGGCUAGAGGAAUGGAGGGGAGACUGGAAUACUUGGUGUAGCAGUGAAAUGCGUAGAUAUCAAGUGGAACACCAGUGGCGAAGGCGAGUCUCUGGACAUUUCCUGACGCUGAGGCACGAAAGCCAGGGGAGCAAACGGG